GUAUACUCAUAGAAACGAAUAAGGGAACACAUGAAAGUACAAGUGUUCCUUUAUUUAUUUCCAGAAUUUCACAGUGCAAUACACACCUUGUGAAAAACCCUGGAAAGAAUAAAGGAACAGUUGUAAUUUCAUGUGUUCCCUUAUUUGUUUCCAUGAGUAUAUUUACAAAUUAUUUG